CUAUGGUAGAUGUCCUACGAUCUAUUCUCUACAGCCGCAUCACAUUAUACUUAUCUUACGGUAUUCUUGAAAUGUAAUGGAUGUGGAGUCGGGUGUUGUGAAGAGAGAUGAAAAGUGUUAAGAUCUUCUUAAUGGUGGCCUUGGAUUUCAAACUUGUCCUCAGUGCCAGUAUUAUGGUGUUAAAAUCAAUGCAGAUUAGUCAUUUUGCAUUCAUUAUCCGCUACUUCCGAAUUAUCAGGGAGGUUUAAGGAGUCUGCCGACGAUUCGGGUCUGGAGUAACAUGUCUCGCCGCAACUAUCAGACUUGGGUGUUCUCGCCUCGGAUAACAACGGUGAGGCAGAAGUUUCUAAAUUCAGUAUUUCUGAAUUAAUCAGAUCCAAGUCUUCUUGAGCAUAAGAUGUAGAAGACUUCACUGACAUGAUGACAGGAUCUGAAAAGAUAGAAAAACAUAAUGACAAUUCUAAUGAAAAUAGAUAUAAAAUUCAGAUGCAAUUUUUAUCCACACUAUGCAUGAAAAGAGAAAGAAAGAGAAGUGAACUAAAAUACAACAAAAUCUGAUAAAUUUAUCUCAAGUUAAAAUAAAGUAAAAGCCAAUAAAUUUAUUUUAAGAAGUUGUAUAUUUUUCCUAGGAAAAGAGAAACCUUUUUAUUUUCAUAAAGGUGGCUAAAUCUGGAUAUAAAUUGAUGAGAAAUGCAUAUUCUAGGAGAUUGACUAUUUUCUUUUUAGUAAAUUUUAACUAUAUAGUUUUAACUUUAUAUAUUUUUUUUAAGUAUUGAGAUGUGUGAAUUAAUCUGCAAGUACUCGCCUAGACUUUUCAAUGUGUUUUUAUUUAUAAGGAAAUAUAAACAGACAUGUUUUAAACAUAAAAUAAUUUUCAAACAUUAAAAAUUAAAAGAAAUUUAUAUUUUUAAAAAUAUUUUGCUAUGUAAUAUAUUUAAUUAGUAAUUAGUUUAUAGCUUGCGUCAAUUUUACACCUAUGUGAGUACUUACAGGUUAAUAAGUUCGCUUUUUUAAACUAUAUUUUAGAAAGGUAAAAAUAAGAAAAAAUAAGAAAAAUAUUUUUUUCUUAUUUUUUUGGCAAAUUUUAAUUAAUAAUUUCCUCCAAAUCCAAACUUUUAUUUUAUUUUUGUUUAGAAAAGAUCAAUUUCAAGUUCAUUAAACAAUUUAUUUCUAAAAGGUCAUGAAAUUUUUUUUAGUAACAUUUUUUAGUAGAUUUGAAAUUUGUAUGUUACAGUGAAAGUAUAAAAUUCAGUAAUUAUACACUCACUAAUAGAUAUGUACAAUUAUUUGAGAUUUUAAGAAACAAAAAUAAAAAUAAGCAUUUAUCACUAGUAACUGUACAUACUUUGUAAAUCACUUUAGCAAAGGCAUAUUAAUUGAUAUAAUUUCUUUGCAUAUAUGACAAAUAAUUUAUUGAGCUGAGUAUUCAACAAUUUAAAUACUUCGACAGUUUAUUUAAUUGAAAUAAAGAGAGAGGAGCCUAAGAAAAAGCCUAAAGUUAAUAGUACAGGUUAUAUAAUAUUACCUUUGACUGUACAAUAGCUAAAAUAUUUUUUACAUGAAAUAAAACAAUUUUUCGAACGUGCGGAAAAUAAACGAGUGUUUUUACGUUACUUAGCAAAAUGUAGUUUUUAUUUAUUGCAACACGGUAGAUUAGAACUGGCACCUUGAAGUGAACGUCGCUCACGAACACUUGCCGCAUUCGAACAGCAAGUGCGUACAUUCGUCAGUAAAAGCACCGAUUAUCUUUCUUUGACACUUUAACUUUGAUUUUUAAUUGGUAAGAUAGUACACGCACAAGCCUUCUAAAGUGGGUGUGUACACGAUUACUGAUUUCAUAUCUUUCCUGUAACGUAAAGCCCAAAGUAAAAUGCCUCA